UUUCAAACUGGCAUUAAUCCUGAUAUAUCUUACGAUCCACGGCAGGAUUCACGUCAGCAUCGCAGCGCGUAUUUUAGUCUGUCGAGCGUAAUGUCCAUCUCGCUCAUAUGACGCCAUUCGAGAGCAUGUACGUCUGCUGGACUAGACAUUAACCAGACAUCUACAGUUGUCUGCAGUUCGAAUCUAGUCAUUGAGUAGAGUCUUGCGAGCGACUCCGCGUGCAGAUGAUGGCCGCGGGUUGUAAACACUGUCAGUUAGGUGGAACGUCUGAGGGCACUCUCUCAUAGUUGACCGAUUUUCAGAGGAAGGACGGGCUAAGUUCGUGCCAGCAGCUCCGGUAAGUCGAGUAAUCCCCAGAUUAUUCCGUAUCCAAUUGCUUUUAGCUUGCGUAUGUGGCAAUGUAGCUUAGACGUGAGAGCCCACGGUCCAAUCGUGGAAUUGCGUUUCAAACCAUCAAGCUGGCAGAAGAUAGGGGUGAUUGGAAGAUAUGGUGGACCGGUGAAUCACCCACAUAUCAUAUGGAACACCCCUGGAGAAAGCGCAUCACUGGAUUUCUUUUGACGUUGAGGCACGAAAGGCAGGGUAUCGACCGGGCUUUGAUACCCCGGUACUCCUAUUUUGUUCCCGAUGAGCACUGGGUUGCAACCCAAUCACAUUCUCUCGGCCGUAGCGUAAGCGUUAAGUGCUCUCCUUGGGGAGUAUGGUUUCAAGGCUGAAACUCAAAGGAAUUGACGGGGGCUCACACAAGCGGUGGAGGAUGUGGAUCAAUUUGAGGAAUCGCGAAGAACCUUCUCUUAGAUUUGACCUGCUUCAGAAUUUCUUUGAAAGAAGAAAGGCCCCUCGGGGAGCUUUUGCACGCUUUUGCAUGGCUGUCGUCAGCUCGUGUCCUGAGACUUUGGGUUAAGUC
rnacentral:rRNA from 1 species